rnacentral:rRNA from 1 species
AUUGAACGCUGGCGGCAGGCUUAACACAUGCAAGUCGAACGAGUGGCGGACGGGUGAGUAAUGCUUGGGAAUCUAGCUUAUGGAGGGGGAUAACUACGGGGAACUGUAGCUCAUACCGCAUACCAUAGUAUUAGCCCAAGUGGGAUUAGGUAGUUGGUGGGGUAAAAGCUCACCUAGGCGAUGAUCUCUAGCUGGUCUGAGAGGCUGAUCAGCAACACGGGGACUGAGAAACGGCCCAGAUUCUUACGGUAGGAAGCAGUGGGAAAUAUUGCAAAAUGGGCGAAAGCCUGAGGCAGCAAUGCGGCGGGGAGGAAGAAGGCCUUAGGGUUGUAAAGUACGUUAAGCGGGGAGGCGGUAACUAAAGAAGAAGCACCGGCUAACUCCGUGCCAGCAGCCGCGGUAAUAC